GGGGGUGAAUAGGUUCGACUUAUGUAGUCGGAUAAAAGCAGCAUGCCGCGGAUGCAAGGAAGGCCGCGUCAACAAUCCUUGCAAAAACUAAACGCAAACAGACUAACGUCUGGUUCGGUAAAUCGUCUGAGCCCAGCAAUGGUCCCAGCCGGCGUACCGGCGUACGCAGUCCUCCCUCACUAACAGGGAGGCCUCAAACCGUUUUUGCCUAAGGGGCGGAUUUGAGACUAAUUAGGCUGGUUCCGGUGUAUGCCUUUUGUGCCGGAAUGAGAUUUUCAAAGGCUGCGCCUUUAAAAAUUAUGUUUGCCUAAGUUUUAAGGGUUAAGAUUAAAGGACAAACUAAGCAUGUAGCGGCUUUUAUUGGAGUGCGUAAGGACGGCGGUGCGAUUCCGCCCACCUCCACCA
rnacentral:tmRNA from 1 species